CGCCUCAAGUGCCUGGACGCUUGCUGCUGAUAACACGCACAAGAGGACACGAUCAGGAGAGUUCUAACAGUUUGGACAUUGCGUGAAUCAGAGUGGGACCAGAGGGGCUCCGUAACUGAUAGACUGCAUAGGUUUGAGCUAAACAUCUUGGUGUGUGUUCUACUGAAGAAUCAAAGUCACCUACAUCUUGGAUGCCCUGGGGAGGUCUCAAAAGCAAGAGCAUAAGCUCCAGACAUGAUGCUGCAUGCAUCCGCUGAUAUGGGACGGAUCUAUCACUGGUAGAUAUGAUUCUGUUUGACAGUUCUGUGAGCAUGUAACAAAAUGAACAAAACAAACCACACACAUCGAGCAACCAAAGGAGGCGGUUAGCUUUUCUUGAGCUUCUCGUUUUCUUGUGUGUUCUUGUUUCGAAAGUGUUUUGUUGUUUCCCUGUGGUUUCCUUUUCCUGCGUCUUGUUUUCAAAUCCAGUGUUUUGACGAAAAGUAUCUCUGAAAACAAUGCCAAGCUAUAUCGAGC
ensembl:lncRNA